UACAGAGGUGGCAAGCGUUGUUCGGAAUUACUGGGCGUAAAGGGCGCGUAGGCGGUCUUUUAAGUUCCGUGUGAAAUCCCUCGGCUCAACUGGGGAACUGCACGGGAAACUGGAGGGCUUGAGUUCGGGAGAGGGAAGCGGAAUUCCGAGUGUAGCAGUGAAAUGUGUAGAUAUUCGGAAGAACACCAGUGGCGAAGGCAGCAACUUGGCCCCAGAUUGACGCUCAGGCACGAAAGCAUGGGGAUCAAACAGG
rnacentral:rRNA from 1 species